CCACAUAGCAGUAGACAGGGUUGAUUCAAUUUAUUUCUUAUGGCUUCAAGCCAAACAUGCUUUAGUGGCUUACGCGAAUCCACCAAAGACAAGGGAUUCUAUCCUUCCAUCCUCCCAUUUCCAUCAUUUCCUACUUCUCAAAUUCAGUAGAGCAAGGGAGCAAUUGUACUUGGAUUUCCUACUGUAGAUACAAGAAGAAGAACUGGUGCUGAGGUAGGAUUUCAUUUCAGUGGCGGUUGUGAGGCUUUCGUCAACGAGACACUGGGAUGCUGAUGGACAUCACUUCUACUAUUUUGAUUAUUGCCCUUAUAUAUAUUUAUGUAAGGUGUAAUUAUUGUAACAUGUGGUUGUAAACAAAUGUGUCUUGUAUAUUUGUUAUUUAUCAUUUAGUGAAUCACUAGUAGUAGGGUAAAUGUAUAAUGAUUUAUAUGCGUAAUCUAAUCUUAGUCGUGAUUUUGGUGACAAUUAUGGAUUAAAUUAUUGC